rnacentral:tRNA from 1 species
AGGCCUGUAGGUCAACGGUAGACCGGAAGUCUCCAAAACUUUUAAUAGAGGUUCAAUUCCUCUCAGGCCUGCAA